AAUGGGCGCAAGCCUGAACCAGCCAUCCCGCGUGAAGGAUGAAGGCCUUAUGGGUUGUAAACUUCUUUUGUACCUGAAGAAACCCUUCUACGUGUAGGAGGUUGCCGGUAAGGUACGAAUAAGCAUCGGCUAACUCCGUGCCAGCAGCCGCGGUAAUACGGAGGAUGCAAGCGUUAUCCGGAUUUAUUGGGUUUAAAGGGUGCGCAGGUGGUUGAAUAAGUCAGUGGUGAAAGUCUGCCGCUUAACGGUAGGAUUGCCAUUGAUACUGUUUAACUUGAGUUUGGAUGAGGUAGGCGGAAUGUGUAGUGUAGCGGUGAAAUGCAUAGAUAUUACACAGAACACCGAUUGCGAAGGCAGCUUACUAAUCCACUACUGACACUGAGGCACGAAAGCGUGGGGAUCAAA
rnacentral:rRNA from 1 species